CCUAGAGAAAGAAAUGGCAACCUGUUCCAGGAUUGUUGCCUGGAGAAUUCCGUGGACAGAGGAGCCUGGCAAGCUAUAGCCCAUGGGGUCACAAAGAGACACAGCUGGGCACACAGCAGACACAUUAUGUAUAAGUAACCUGGAAUGCUACUUCUAGGUUUUAGUCACCAGAAACAGAUAAAUUGACCAAGAAAAUUGGGAUUGAGCAAAUGUCUUGUUGGAGACCAAGUGUGGCUUGAUGGAAGCAGUGUGGCCUAUUUGGACGUCAUUUACCUGGACUAUUGAGGCCAUUGUGGCUGCUUUUAGGACUCAGAAAACAUCUUCAGUUUUGCUCAGCUGAAUGGUCAAGAGAAUCCUUUCCAGCUAAUCAGGAUGUUCGUGUUCUGUCCCUUCACUUUAAGUGUUCUGAACACCACCAGUGUCUUUUCUAUCUUUGAAGGUGAAAACCUGUUGCAUCUUCAUAUGAAAAUGGAAAUCCUGCAAUUCAGUACAUGCCCCAUGCUGCCAUUUCCUGAACAUCUGCCUCAGUUCCUUGAUAAGUGGCUCUUUAUAGUGAUGGUAUCUUGGAGGAAGAUUGAAAGCCAAGCUACUAUAUGUAUCAGCUUAUUAGCACAAUGGCUUGGAUAUACUAGAAUCUUGUGUGCUGUGCUCCUUCACUCAGAUGUGUCUGACUCUUUGCAACCCCGUGGACUGUAGCCCGCCAGGCUCCUCUGUCCGGGGGAUUUCCCAGCCAAGAAUGCUGGAGUGGGUUGCGGUUCCUUCCUACUCCAGGAAGUCUUCCCAACCCAGGGAUCAAAAUGGCAUUUCCUAUUUGACAGGUGGGUUCUUUAUCACUAAUGCCACCUGGGAAGCCCAUAAUUGGAAAUUAUUUUUCCAUAAAGGAAAAUUUGCAUUCCUUGAACACUUUUUAGGGACUAGUAGGCCCUUAACGUGGAGAAGGAAAUGGCAAGCCACUCCAGGAUUCUUGCCUGGAGAAUUCCUGGACAGAGGAGCCUGGUAGGCUAUAGUCCAUGGGGGUCACAAAAAGUAAGACACAGCUGAGCGACUGUCACUCACUCACUCAGGCACUUAAGAAAUAGUAGUUAAAUGAAUUUAUCCUAAAUGGGCUGAGUCACUUAUAGGAUGAAGUGUGAGUAUUGUU
ensembl:lncRNA